CCGUGCUAAACGGGGAGUUGGCGGUGCCCUUUUCCUGCAAUCCGCCGCAGCAGGGUCUAAUCCCCGCCCCGAGGCAAGUGUUUGCGAGGCAUGGAGCCGAUAAGGAGUGUUGAUAUUCGGGUCCCGUUCAAUCGAUCACCGUGAACCAUGUCAGGUCCUGACGGAAGCAGCAUUAAGCGGAAAGUUCGGUGUGAAGCGGGUCUGCCUGAAAGGAGCCGCCUGUCGGCAUACCUCUCGGGGGCGUUUUUGUCGAAGGGCGGGUGCACGG
rnacentral:SRP_RNA from 1 species